UCGAGGAUCUUCGGCAAUGAGCGCAAGCUUGACCGAGCGACGCCGCGUGUGCGAUGAAGGCCUUCGGGUUGUAAAGCACUGUCGAGGGGGAGAAAAGGGAAACCUUGAUCUAUCCCUGGAGGAAGCACGGGCUAAGUUCGUGCCAGCAGCCGCGGUAAGACGAACCGUGCGAACGUUGUUCGGAAUCACUGGGCUUAAAGGGCGCGUAGGCGGGCUGUCAAGUCUGGGGUGAAAUCCCGCGGCUCAACCGUGGAACUGCCUUAGAUACUGACGGCCUCGAGGGAGGUAGGGGCGAGCGGAACUGUGAGUGGAGCGGUGAAAUGCGUUGAUAUUCACAGGAACUCCGGUGGCGAAGGCGGCUCGCUGGCCCUCUUCUGACGCUGAGGCGCGAAAGCUAGGGGAGCAAACGGGAUUAGAUACCCCCGUAGUCC
rnacentral:rRNA from 1 species